rnacentral:rRNA from 1 species
AGUCGAACGGAGAUUAUACGCAGAGGCGAUUUCGGUCAAAUCAUGUAAAAUCUUAGUGGCGGACGGGUGAGUAACGCGUGGGUAACCUGCCUUACACUGGGGGAUAACACUUAGAAAUAGGUGCUAAUACCGCAUAAGCGCACGAAGCCGCAUGGAUUUGUGUGAAAAACUCCGGUGGUGUAAGAUGGACCCGCGUCUGAUUAGCUUGUUGGCGGGGUAACGGCCCACCAAGGCGACGAUCAGUAGCCGGCCUGAGAGGGUGGACGGCCACAUUGGGACUGAGACACGGCCCAAACUCCUACGGGAGGCAGCAGUGGGGGAUAUUGGACAAUGGGGGGAACCCUGAUCCAGCGACGCCGCGUGAGUGAAGAAGUAUUUCGGUAUGUAAAGCUCUGUCAGCAGGGAAGAAAGAAAUGACGGUACCUGACCAAGAAGCCCCGGCUAACUACGUGCCAGCAGCCGCGGUAAUACGUAGGGGGCAAGCGUUAUCCGGAAUUACUGGGUGUAAAGGGAGCGUAGACGGUUAAGUAAGUCUGGAGUGAAAGGCCGGGGCCCAACCCCGGGACUGCUCUGGAAACUAUUGAACUUGAGUGCAGGAGAGGUAAGCGGAAUUCCUAGUGUAGCGGUGAAAUGCGUAGAUAUUAGGAGGAACACCAGUGGCGAAGGCGGCUUACUGGACUGUAACUG